rnacentral:lncRNA from 1 species
GCCCCGGCGGCCCCGCGCCGCGCGCCCUCCCGCGCGCCCACCCGGGCCCCGCCCGCGCCCCGGACGGCGCCCCCGCCGGAGGGCCCAGGUAACCGGCCGCCCAGGGGGCCUCGGCGCCUCCAGCACCCGUCCCCCCAGAUCAUACAUAUAAUUUCCUGUGCGGCUCUCAGUAUCUCCAAGACCUAGGAUGCUCCUUGAGAGGUAUGAUACUAUUUUGAGUGUAUUCCUGCUUAUGUAAACGAGAGCUUUCUAGAAGAGAUAAUGGUUAUGAACACUGGCCCUUAACCAAGAAACAGAAGUUGAAUGAACUGCGGGAAGAUAAACUUCACUUUGCUGUGAUUUCAGAACUGAUAUCAGCAGGCAGUUGUCUAAAAACUAUAUUUGUUUUCCUAAUCUGCUACUUUUCACGACAAUUAUAUUUGGUAAGGAAAACAUUCUAUUGAAGAGAUGCAACAGAUUCAUCAUCCUCAUUUUUUUUUACCUGACUGUUUGCCUCGCUACAGUGGUGUCUUCCCUCUGUCACCCUCAGACUGCCCUCCCGUGACUAGCCCCUGAUACUUCAGUACCGUCCGUCCUCUUAGGCCUCAGGAUUCAACAGCUUCCUGUGCAGGAAGACUCCACCAUCCUCCGUUUUGAACACGAGCGUUUCCACGCAGCACCAUGAGCUGAAUUUUCUUUUGUCCCGUCACCUGAAGGCCUACCCUGUCUUCGUAUCCUGGCGUUUUCUUUGUUGCCUGGUUUGGAGACAGACCUUUCCUUCGUUGCUUUCUGGAGCUGACAGGCUCACCUUACCGCCAAUCCUGGGUGCAAGUUAUCAACUUAACACGAGUCAGUUAGGGUCUGUUAUUUGGGUGAAGCCUGCUGCCUGCAUUGAUUUUAUUGAAAUGCGAUUUGCUUUAAACAAGCUGAUAGCUAUGCAGAUGUUCAUAGUCACAAUGCACCAAGAUUACGUUACACUUAAGUUUAUAGUGGAUAAAAACCGACUGGAGAGGAAGAAAAUAGGAGGGCGUGCUGGUUUCUCUUGUCGUUCAGGACAGAUGCAUGUGACCACAGAAGAUAAUCUGAAGGAACACCAAUGUGAAGAGAAAAGUGAGAUGAAAAUGAAAUGAAGCUGUUAAGCCAGCACAUUAAUUCAAGUUGACUUCUCUAACUGGUGGGCCGGGGGAGUCUUAAGAGAAGCCAGAGAGAAGGAAUUCCAAUCUUCAAUACUCCAGCAUUCCCGGGUGAUGCUUUGGCUUGAGGUUAAAGAAGUCAGAGUGAACUGAGGGGAGAACAUAGACUUUGGGGACCCCUGAGUAGGUGAACACUGGUCUGACUUUGUGCAAAUGGAUGGAGACAUCUUGUCACUCCUUGAAUGUCCGUGUAAAACCCAUCUUCAGGAAGAACAAGCAGGGCUUUCUGCUGCAUAUCAGCAACGCCCCUAUGUAGUUAAACCUCACUGCUCCCAUUCAUCCCUAGAUUUUCUACCGCAUAAUAAGAACAUUUCUAAACUUUCAAAUACUGACUUCUUGUGAUGUCUAUAUUGGCCCAUACCGACAAGGAGGACCGGCAUAAGUAAAACGUAUAGCUGUGUCCUUUACUUGGAAGAUAAGAUUGUGGCAAUGGCCAAAUUAACACUAACAAGGUGCAUGUGAUGAGAACAUGCCCCCAUCCUUUAUCACAGCCCAGUGCAUACCUUGGAAAUACCUUACAUUUUAAAACAUACGGCAGAGUAUCCUUGGCUCAAAAUUUAAAAAACAAGCUUAAAGACAACCAGCUAAUUUUCUUACUAAUUGCCUAACUGUAACACUUAUGAUAUCAAUAGGCUUAGCAACUAUAGUACACCACUUCAGGUCACAUUUUAUAUGUAAAAAAAAAUAUUCGUUGACUAAAGUUGUUUUUUUCUAGGCCUGGUUAAUUGUUGCCAUCCUCUGUGUCUGUGAGCCCUUCGUGACUUACAUAACAAAUGUGAUUAAUCUGUGUGCCUAUUAAUUAAAAUGCCAUGUAUGUAGUCUCUUUGUUCAGGGAUUUCAAACUUUCUCUCUUCUAUAGGAUAGUUAAUAUAUAAAGUACAUUAAGGGAUUCGCAAUUACCAUUUAAAACUCAUUAUUGGCAGUGUUUAUCAGCAAUACAAUGAAGUUAUAAAGGCAUCUAUGUGCUUCUUUUACUAUCCAGCUUUGUGCAGUUGUCUGUAAAAACAAAUUCUCCAGAUUUAACAAGGAAAAUUUCAUUGCUAAUUAGAUUUAGAAAAGAGCCUGGAAACUAAUGGAAAAAAUGAAUUUAAUGGAGGGGGCAAUUAGUCCAAAACUAUCCAUAAAAUCUUUACUGCUACCAUGUAAGGUAUAGUUUUCAGUUUAAUUUUCUAUAAUGUUUGUUAAACAUUGCUUUCAAUAAUGUAUAAGUGAGUACAAAAGUAACUGGUGGGGAAAAGCAUGGAAUGGACUUCUCAUCUAUGUGGAAAGAGUGCCCUCAUAUUUGUGUAUAUUUUAGAGAAUUUACACUUAUUAUCCUGUAAUUUAAAGAUUUUUAUCAUAGUAUUUGGUAGAAAAGUCUAUAGUUUUGAAAUGAGUGGCACGGCACUUUGGCAGUAGAUGGCACUGUCGUCAUUUCCUAACAACGCGGCCGAGGCCCACAGGAGCUCGGGUUCCCUCCAAGAAGGGGACAGAAGCUACCAUCCAAGAAUCACUCUUGAAAGUCAUUAUUAAUUUGAAACGGCAUCAAAGUUUCAUUCUUCUGCCACUCUCAGUUUUAAAAGAACAAAAUUUCCCUCACACCUUUGCUAUUAUCUGCUCCAUUGGUGGAGCCUAGAAUUCUUUGGUGUGUAAUGAUUUUCUUUUACGUGAUUUUGGGGCUUUUGCUGGCACAACAGAACAAAGUCUUACAGAAAUGACACUGAGGAAAAUCUCUCUCUUCAGGAUAAGGAUAAUGAUACUCUUUAUUCAUCUUUGAUGUGUAUUAUCCGUUUUCAAUAGCAUUGCAUGUAUAACAUACCAGGGCCGUAAGGUCAGAGUCGACCCAGUUUUCAUUAGGAAGAUGAUCUGUAUUUACAUUUUGUUACAAAUUACUGAAAUUACCACCCACCAGCUUUUUCAUCAAUCUGAAAUCCAUUUACCGC